rnacentral:rRNA from 1 species
GAUGAACGCUGGCGGCGUGCCUAAUACAUGCAAGUCGAGCGAACAGACGAGGAGCUUGCUCCUCUGACGUUAGCGGCGGACGGGUGAGUAACACGUGGAUAACCUACCUAUAAGACUGGGAUAACUUCGGGAAACCGGAGCUAAUACCGGAUAAUAUAUUGAACCGCAUGGUUCAAUAGUGAAAGACGGUUUUGCUGUCACUUAUAGAUGGAUCCGCGCCGCAUUAGCUAGGUGGUAAGGUAACGGCUUACCAAGGCAACGAUGCGUAGCCGACCUGAGAGAGUGAUCGGCCACACUGGAACUGAGACACGGUCCAGACUCCUACGGGAGGCAGCAGUAGGGAAUCUUCCGCAAUGGGCGAAAGCCUGACGGAGCAACGCCGCGUGAGUGAUGAAGGUCUUCGGAUCGUAAAACUCUGUUAUUAGGGAAGAACAAAUGUGUAAGUAACUAUGCACGUCUUGACGGUACCUAAUCAGAAAGCCACGGCUAACUACGUG